GCGCUCGCUUUGGCAGCACAUAUACUAAAAUUGGAACAGUACAAAGAAGACUAGCAUGACCCCUGUGCAAGGAUAACAUGAAAAUUUGUGAAGCGUUCCAUAUUUUU